UCCAUUGAUGAGAUGGCUUUUCGUAUUUCUAUGUCACACGGUGUUUUAGCUGGUCCCUCGGAAGCAAAAUGACAGUCACACUGGAGCUCCCCGGCUGGGGUUUCUGAGUCACGGAACCCUGUCAGCUUUGAAGAAGGGGUGACUCAUGACCCUCAAGGAUACAGCUUGUGUCAGGUUUCCUGAAAAAUCAAUGGAACGAAUGAGGAUUUGCUGGAGAGAGACUGAAGAUUGGUGAGAAAGUCUAGGAUUAGGGAGACUGCUAGAAGCGUGGGGUUUUGGCCUGAAGUUCGGAGCAGUCAUUUAGCCUUUGGUCACUGCGGGGUAGGUCGGGGCGGGAGUUAUUUGUGAAGAGUUCUGGGUGAUUAUGGAACACAGUGGCCCAGAAGCUGCAGCUGAGACCCAGAAAUACCACCGUUCCUGGUCCAGCCCGAGGCCCCUGGGCUCUGGGGUGACAAACAUCAGGAGAGGGUUACCAGUCAAACAAGGAAUCCCAUUUUUAUGCACAAAGGAUGGAUAUAAAACAAUGGGAUGAAACUUCCAGUCAGUGCUGUAUGGGUCCAUGGAGUUAAGUAAUGACUCAAUAGUGGAACUGGGGUUGAUGAUCUUAUAAGAAAGACUUGGAUGCAAAGACUGAAGGUUAAAAAUUUAGUGGACAUGUUCUAGGGGCAAACUCAAGCUCACAUAAGGAAAAAGGAAAAUCAAAGCAUAGAAAUAUUUGCGGUCUCAGGAAAAACAUGUAAAAUAUGCCCAGCAUCUGGCCAUCCCCAGCAGACUUUUUCCUGCUGUCAAUGUACCC
rnacentral:lncRNA from 1 species